GUUUGAUCCUGGCUCAGGACGAACGCUGGCGGCGUGCUUAACACAUGCAAGUCGAACGGAAAGGCCCUGCUUGCAGGGUACUCGAGUGGCGAACGGGUGAGUAACACGUGGGUGAUCUGCCCUGCACUUCGGGAUAAGCUUGGGAAACUGGGUCUAAUACCGGAUAGGAACCAUCUUUAGUGUGGUGGUUGGAAAGUUUUUUCGGUGUAGGAUGAGCUCGCGGCCUAUCAGCUUGUUGGUGGGGUAAUGGCCUACCAAGGCGGCGACGGGUAGCCGGCCUGAGAGGGUGUACGGCCACAUUGGGACUGAGAUACGGCCCAGACUCCUACGGGAGGCAGCAGUGGGGAAUAUUGCACAAUGGGCGCAAGCCUGAUGCAGCGACGCCGCGUGGGGGAUGAAGGCCUUCGGGUUGUAAACUCCUUUCGCUAGGGACGAAGCUUUGUGUGACGGUACCUAGAUAAGAAGCACCGGCUAGCUACGUGCCAGCAGCCGCGGUAAUACGUAGGGUGCGAGCGUUGUCCGGAAUUACUGGGCGUAAAGGGCU
rnacentral:rRNA from 1 species